GGGGGGGAGGGGCGGCGAGGCGAGGCCUGCGGAGCGGAGGAAGACAAACAUAAAGAUGAAGUGCUUAAUUCAAGGUCACACAAUGUCGGGGAUGGACCUCCAGAUUUCCUUACUGACCUGCAUUAUCUUGUGGAUACCUGAGUGAAUUCCACACCACCCAUUUUAUAGAUGAAACCACUGAGACAUGGAGCAAUUGACUGAGUAGUCACUGCCCCACCCCUGCCUGGAGCCUCACACAUGACUCGCCUCCUCUCAGUGACCACAGGAAAACAAGCUCAGGGCUCCCACUGAUUGUACAUUAUGAGACGGAGUCUUGCUAUGUUGCCCAGGCUGGUCUUGAACUCCUCACCUCAAGCGAUCCUCCCGUCUUGGCCUCCCAAGUGUCAGGAUUACGGGCAUGUGCUAUCACACCCAACCUGAUACAUUGCCUUUAUAAAUUUUUUUUUCUUUAUUCUAAAAACCAGAAAAAACAAAACUGGAUACAUGUGCAGAACAUGCAGGUUUGUUACAUAGCUGUACGUGUGCCAUGGUGGUUUGCUGCACCUAUUGACCUAUCCUACCAAGUGUGUUGGGGACUUGAGAUGCGUACAUGAGUGUGAUGUUUCCUGCUGAAAGCACAGGUGAGACGUGGUCUUGUAACACAGUGGUUAAGAAUGUGACUUUGGAGCCAGCCUGCUAGGGGCUGAAUUCUGACUCAGCCAUUUACUAACUGUGUGACCUUAGGUAAGUCAUUUACCUUCUUUGUCCCUCAGUUUCAUCUCGGUUAAGUAGGGAUAAUGAUAGCACCUAUUUUAUAGGGUUAUUGUGAGGAAUAAAUCCAAGUAAAAUGCUUAGAAUAGUAACUGAAACAUAGCACUCAUUAGGAAUGCUUUAAUUUUCAUUUAUUUGAGUAUUAAAGGUUGAAUUUUCAGAGGUAUUUUGGACCUUUGUAUUUUUUCUUUAAAUCACUUAUUCAUGACUUUUGAACUUUUUUUUUUCUUUUAGAGACAGGGUCUUGGUUUGUUGUCUAGGCUGGAAUGCAGUGGUGCAAUCAUAGCUCACUGUAGCCUUGAACUCUUGGGCUCAAGAGAUCCUCCUGCCUCAGCCUCGUGAGUAGCUGGGCCUACAGGCGCCUGCUACCACACCUGGCUAAUUUUUUAUUUUUUGUAGAGAUGGGUUCUUGCAGCCCAGACUGGUCUUGAGCUUUGGCCUGAAGUGCUCCUCCUGCCUUGGCCUCUCAAAGCAUUGGGGUUACAGGUGUGAAGCACUGCACCUUGCCUACACAUUUUUUCCAAUAAUUUUUUUUAUUAAUUUGUAAGAGUUAACAUGUCGACUAUCAUAUAUAACAUAGAAUUGUUCCCAUUUUGUCAUUUCCUUUCAACUUUGUCUAUGUAGCUUUUUUUCUGUGUGCAAAUUUUACAUUUUUAGGUAGUCAGAAAAUCUCUUCCCUUGUAAUUUUUUCUGCUACUAGACCAAUGUUUAGAAAAAAGCGUGCUUCCCCACCUCAAAAUUAUAAAAAUAGUUACUUGUUCUUUUUGAGUACUGUGUGUGUUUAAAUCUUUAAUCUUUAAAUUUAAAUCUUUGAUCCAUCUGGUAUUUAUUUUGAUAUGAAGAGAGUGGUUGGGAUCUGGCUGUAUUUCUUUUUUCUUUUUUUUUCUUUUUUCUUUUUUUGACGAAGUCUCACUGUUGCUCAGGCUGGAGUGCAAUGGCAUGAUCUCGGCUCAUCACAACCUCUGCUUCCUGGGUUCAAGCGAUUCUCCUGCCUCAGCCUCCCGAGUACCUGGGACUACAGGCACUCGCCACCAUGCCCGGCUGAUUUUUGUAUUUUUAAUAGAGAUGGUUUCACUAUGUUGGCCAGGCUGGUCUCGAACUCCUGACCUUGUGAUCUGCCCACCUCAGCCUCGAAAAGUGCUGGGAUUACAGGCGUGAGCCACUGCGCCCAGCCUUGUAUUUUUUUUCAGUUUGGGUAGCUGUCCCUAAUUCAUUUGUUAAAGGAGAAGCAAGAGCAAGAACCUUUAAUCUGUUCUCCUCUUCCCUAAUUUGAAAGUAGCUUGUUAUUUUGAAUAUCACUUUCUCUGAAAUAGCACAUCUCCAUCUCAGAGAAUGGAUUUAAUGUUUGGAUACAGCCAAAAGUCAUUUCAUUACCAAACCAUGGGGUGAAUAUACCAUGUAAAGCAGUUUGGGAUCAGAACUCACAGUCUGAAUUGUAAGUGAUGAGACUGCUGUCUCUCUGCUACAGCUUCUUGGCUGGCUCUGAAGGCUCUUUGAAGGCAGAUCCUAACAAGGGGACUGCUUUGAAGGGCCAUUGUUCAUUUGGAAUGAUAAAGUCUAUGUUGUUCAAAAAACAAAUGCUUGUAGCAGGUAUUUUUUCACUCCAGACUGAGAAUAUUGGUGGGAUAUUGAUAAGGGGUACUGAAUGGUAAUAAACAUGUGCUCUAGCUCUGUGCUAGUCAGCUUAUUUCAGAACUCUAGUUUGAUUCAGUUUCUUGCCUCUGACUCAAAAUGGAGGGAGAGUGAUUUUUACAUAAGAGAACACACCCACAUAUCCUUUUGGCAGCAGCUACCUGCCAGAGAUGUUGAAGAAGAGUAGCCAACCUUUACACAGCAGAUAUUGUGUGCCAGUCAUAGUCCUAAGUAUAAUACCUUACAUGUAUAAACUUCUUAUAAGGUUGGUGCUCUGUACCGAAUUGAAUAGUAUCCCCCAAAAUUCAUGUUGUCCCAGAACCUAUGAAAGUGAUCUUACUUGAGGGAGGGGGGAGGGGGGAGGGAUAGCAUUAGGAGAUAUACCUAAUGCUAAAUGACGAGUUAAUGGGUGUAGCACACCAGCAUGGCACAUGUAUACAUAUGUAACUAACCUGCACAUUGUGCACAUGUACCCUAAAACUUAAAGUAUAAUAAUAAUAAAAUAAAAAAAAAAAAGAAAGUGAUCUUACUUGGAAAUAAGGUCUUUGCACAUAUGAUCAAGUUGAGAUGAAGUUGUACUGGAAAGUCUGUCUAGUGACUGGUGUUGUCAUAAGAAGAGAGGGACACAGAGGGAAGAUGGCCACAUGAAGAUGGAGGCAGAGAUUGCAGUUAUGCUGCUGCAAACUAAGGAAUGGCUCUGGCCCUCCAAGGAUUGCUGAUAACCACCAGAAACUAGAAGAGACAAGGAAGGAUUCUUCCCUAGAGCCUUCAGAGGGAGCAUGGCCCUACUGACACCUGGAUUUCAAACUUGUAGCUUCCUAAACUGCAAGAGAAUAAAUUUCUGUUGUUUUAAGCCA
rnacentral:lncRNA from 1 species